rnacentral:rRNA from 1 species
GACGAACGCUGGCGGCGUGCCUAAUACAUGCAAGUCGAGCGAAUGACGAGAAGCUUGCUUCUCUGAUUUAGCGGCGGACGGGUGAGUAACACGUGGGCAACCUGCCCUACAGAUCGGGAUAACUCAGGGAAACCUGGGCUAAUACCGGAUCAUCAUUCGAAUCACAUGUUUUCGAGUUGAAAGGCGCUUCGGCGUCACUGUAGGAUGGGCCCGCGGUGCAUUAGCUAGUUGGUGGGGUAACGGCCUACCAAGGCAGCGAUGCAUAGCCGACCUGGGAGGGUGAUCGACCACAUUGGGACUGAGACACGGCCCAAACUCCUACGGGAGGCAGCAGUAGGGAAUCUUCCACAAUGGACGAAAGUCUGAUGGAGCAACGCCGCGUGAGUGAUGAAGGUUUUCGGAUCGUAAAACUCUGUUGUAAGGGAAGAACAAGUACGUUAGGAAAUGAACGUACCUUGACGGUACCUUAUUAGAAAGCCACGGCUAACUACGUGCCAGCAGCCGCCGUAAUAC